ASGMAUUAGUGGACAACGGGUGAGUAACACGUGAGUAACCUGCCCCUGACUCUGGGAUAAGCGUUGGAAACGACGUCUAAUACUGGAUAUGAUCACUGGCCGCAUGGUCUGGUGGUGGAAAGAUUUUUUGGUUGGGGAUGGACUCGCGGCCUAUCAGCUUGUUGGUGAGGUAAUGGCUCACCAAGGCGACGACGGGUAGCCGGCCUGAGAGGGUGACCGGCCACACUGGGACUGAGACACGGCCCAGACUCCUACGGGAGGCAGCAGUGGGGAAUAUUGCACAAUGGGCGAAAGCCUGASGCAGCAACGCCGCGUGAGGGARGACGGCCUUCGGGUUGUAAACCUCUUUUAGUAGGGAAGAAGCGAAAGUGACGGUACCUGCAGAAAAAGCACCGGCUAACUACGUGCCAGCMGCCGCGGUAAUAMAA
rnacentral:rRNA from 1 species